rnacentral:rRNA from 1 species
UACGUAGGUGGCAAGCGUUGUCCGGAUUUACUGGGCGUAAAGAGCGCGCAGGCGGUCGUUCAAGUCGCGUGUGAAAGCCCCCGGCUCAACUGGGGAGGGUCACGCGAUACUGAUCGACUCGAAGGCAGGAGAGGGUAGUGGAAUUCCCGGUGUAGUGGCGAAAUGCGUAGAUAUCGGGAGGAACACCAGUGGCGAAGGCGACUACCUGGCCUGUUCUUGACGCUGAGGCGCGAAAGCCAGGGGAGCAAACGGG